rnacentral:lncRNA from 1 species
GAGUGGAAUAGACUUACCUGGAGAGCCCUCAAGGAGUAGUUUAUAUAGACAAAGACUAGAGCCCAUCUUGAUUGGGAUCUUGGGAUGUGUGAGGGAGUUUAUUAAGGAUAACCACUCGCAUGUCCAGGACAUAUGAUAAGAUAGAGAUGUCACAAUUAGAUACAUUGAUUCAUCAUUAUAGGCAAGCUAGCAUUGAGUGGGGGGAGAUUCGGACAUCUCUGCACACCUUCGGAGAGGCCACAUGAUAGAAACUGGUUGGCCGAGGUGAGAACUUUAUGGCAAGUUCAUGUCAGGAUUCAAC